rnacentral:rRNA from 1 species
UAUGAGAUGGACCCGCGUCGCAUUAUCUAUUUGGUGAGGUAACGGCUCACCAAGGCGACAAUGCGUAGCCGACCUGAGAGGGUGAUCGGCCACAUUGGGACUGAGACACGGCCCACACUCCUACGGGAGGCAGCAGUGGGGAAUAUUGCACAAUGGGGGAAACCCUGAUGCACCAACGCCGCGUGAGUGAUGACGGUCUUCGGAUUGUAAAACUCUGUCUUCAGGGACAAUAAUGACGGUACCUGAGGAGGAAACCACGGCUAACUACGUGCCACCAGCCGCGGUAAUACGUAGGUGGCAAGCGUUGUCCGGAUUUACUGGGCGUAAAGGGAGCGUAGGUGGAUAUUUAAGUGGGAUGUGAAAUACUCGGGCUUAACCUGGGUGCUGCAUUCCAAACUGGAUAUCUAUAGUGCGGGAGAGGAAAGUAGAAUUCCUAGUGUAGCGGUGAAAUGCGUAUAGAUUAUGAAAAAUACCAGUGGCGAAGGCGACUUUCUGGACUGUAACUGACACUGAGGCUCUAAAGCGUGUGGAGCAAACAGGAUUAUAUACCCUGUGAGUCCACGCCGUAUACGAUGAAUACUAUGUGUGGGGGUUGUCAUGACCUCCGUGCCGCCGCAAACGCAUUAAGUAUUCCGCCUGGGGAGUACAGUCGCAAGAUUAAACUCACAGGAA